ACCAAAACCCAGACAAUAACAAGUGCCGAAGAGGAUGUGGAGACAUUGGAGUCCCUGUCUACUUCUGGUGGAAAUGGAAAACAGUAGGAGGUUUCUCAAAAUAUUUCAAUAAUAAUUACCAUAUGAUCUACUUCUGACUACCUACCCAAAGGAAUUGCUAGCAGGAAUUCAAGCAAGCAUUUGUAGGCCCAUGUUCAUGGUGGUUUUAUUCACAAUAGCCAAAAGGGGGAAGCCACUCAAAUGUCCAUAAUAGAUGGAUGGAUAAAGAAACUGUGGUUUUUCCAUACACAGGAUAGGAUCCAGCCUUGACGCAUGUCACAGCAUGGAUCAGCCUUGAGGACUUCAUGCUGCAUGGAAUGGACCAGUCACAAAGAUAUUGGAUGCUUUCACUUACAGAAGACCCUGAGGAUGGUCAAAUUCAUGGAGACAGGGAGUAUAAUGGAAACCUCCAGGGGCCAGGAGAGGAGGAAUGGGGUGUGUGUUAGUGUUUAGUGGGUGCAGUUCCCUUCUGGCAAGAUUAAUAAAGUUGUAGAGAUUGGCUGGACCACAAUGUUAAUGUACUUACCAUUACUGAAUCGAGUACUUAAAAAUGAUUCAGAUGGAGCAUUUUAUGUGUAUUUUACUAUAUUUAAAAAUCUUAGUAUUAAAAAUAAUAUUUGAUGAGUGCAUUAGUAUAAAGACAAACUAUUAUUGCAUAUUAAUACAAUAUCUAUGACCUAAAAGCUCACUUAUUUUCCUCUAAUUCUGAAAGACAGCUAAACAUUUUUGUGGGCCCCAGAUGGUAUCGCUGGCCCCGCUCUGUGCCCACCAGGCCUGUCGGUGACUUCUGCCCUGUGGGCCAGAGACAAUUUGCAGGAGGCCUGGCCUUGCUAAGAAGGGGCUCUAAGGGCAGGUAUUAGACCCUGUGCGGCGCCCUCUGAGGUACUGCGGCUCCAGAUCCACCCUGCUGACCCCCGCCGCCCCUCUACUCCCUAGACCCUUGAGGCUUCACUCUUGAGCAGCUCCCCUCUGCUGUCCAACAC
rnacentral:lncRNA from 1 species